rnacentral:rRNA from 1 species
UGAGGAAUAUUGGUCAAUGGGCGAGAGCCUGAACCAGCCAAGUAGCGUGCAGGAUGACGGCCCUAUGGGUUGUAAACUGCUUUUGUAUGGGGAUAAAGUCAAUCACGUGUGAUUGUUUGCAGGUACCAUACGAAUAAGGACCGGCUAAUUCCGUGCCAGCAGCCGCGGUAAUACGGAAGGUCCGGGCGUUAUCCGGAUUUAUUGGGUUUAAAGGGAGCGUAGGCUGGAGAUUAAGUGUGUUGUGAAAUGUAGACGCUCAACGUCUGACUUGCAGCGCAUACUGGUUUCCUUGAGUACGCACAACGUUGGCGGAAUUCGUCGUGUAGCGGUGAAAUGCUUAGAUAUGACGAAGAACUCCGAUUGCGAAGGCAGCUGACGGGAGCGCAACUGACGCUGAAGCUCGAAGGUGCGGGUAUCGAACAGGAUUAGAUACCCUGGUAGUCCGCACAGUAAACGAUGGAUGCCCGCUGUUGGUACCUGGUAUCAGCGGCUAAGCGAAAGCAUUAAGCAUCCCACCUGGGGAGUACGCCGGCNACGGU